rnacentral:rRNA from 1 species
CCUACGGGAGGCAGCAGUGGGGAAUUUUGGACAAUGGGCGCAAGCCUGAUCCAGCAAUGCCGCGUGAGUGAAGAAGGCCUUCGGGUUGUAAAGCUCUUUUGUCAGGGAAGAAACGGGUCUUUCUAAUACAGAGAUCUAAUGACGGUACCUGAAGAAUAAGCACCGGCUAACUACGUGCCAGCAGCCGCGGUAAUACGUAGGGUGCAAGCGUUAAUCGGAAUUACUGGGCGUAAAGCGUGCGCAGGCGGUUUUGUAAGUCUGUCGUGAAAUCCCCGGGCUCAACCUGGGAAUGGCGAUGGAGACUGCAAGGCUAGAAUCUGGCAGAGGGGGGUAGAAUUCCACGUGUAGCAGUGAAAUGCGUAGAUAUGUGGAGGAACACCGAUGGCGAAGGCAGCCCCCUGGGCUAAGAUUGACGCUCAUGCACGAAAGCGUGGGGAGCAAACAGGAUUAGAUACCCUGGUAGUCCACGCCCUAAAACGAUGUCUACUAGUUGUCGGGUUCUUAAUUGACUUGGUAACGCAGCUAACGCGUGAAGUAGACCCGCCGUGGGGAGGUACGGUCGCGAGAGUAAACGUACAAGUAGUAAGUUAGUACGGCGUAGAGACGUUAGCCGACGGACGACGACGAGGGAGGAGG